UGGCUUAGAGUUUGAUCCUGGCUCAGAACGAACGCUGGCGGCGUGGAUAAGACAUGCAAGUCGAGCGCGACUUAUUCUGUAGCAAUACAGGGUAAGUUGAGCGGCGCAAGGGUGCGUAACACGUGGGCAAUUUGCCAUAAAGUUGGGGAUAACUUGCUGAAAGGCGAGCUAAUACCGAAUGUGGUUGUUGGGAGGCAUCUCCUGAUUACCAAAGUUGGGGAUCGUAAGACCUGACGCUUUAUGAUGAGCCCGCGGCCUAUCAGCUAGUUGGUGAGGUAACGGCUCACCAAGGCUAAGACGGGUAGCUGGUCUGAGAGGACGACCAGCCACACUGGAACUGAAACACGGUCCAGACACCUACGGGUGGCAGCAGUCGAGAAUUUUUCUCAUUGGGGGAAACCCUGAAAGAACAACCCCCCCAUGCUGAAUA
rnacentral:rRNA from 1 species